rnacentral:rRNA from 1 species
UACGUAGGGGGCAAGCGUUGUCCGGAAUCAUUGGGCGUAAAGCGCGCGUAGGCGGCCCGGUAAGUCCGCUCUGAAAGUCCAGGGCUCAACCCUGGAAAGCGGGUGGAUACUGCCGGGCUAGAGUCCGGAAGAGGCGAGUGGAAUUCCCGGUGUAGUGGUGAUAUGCGUAGAUAUCGGGAGGAACACCAGUGGCGAAGGCGGCUCUCUGGGCCCUACCUGACGCUGAGACGCGAAAGCGUGGGGAGCGAACCGG